rnacentral:tRNA from 1 species
GGAGGGUACAGCUCAGUGGUAGAGCAUGUGCUCAGCAUGCAUGAGGUCCUGGGUUCUAUCCCCAGUCCCUCUA